CUCAGUAACACGUGGAUAACCUGCCCUUAGGAUUGGCAUAACACCGGGAAACUGGUGAUAAUACCGAAUAGACCAUUUAUGCUGGAAUGCUUUUUGGUUCAAAGGCUUCGGCUGCCUAAGGAUGGAUCUGCGGCCUAUCAGGUAGUAGUGGGUGUAAUGUACCUACUAGCCUACGACGGGUACGGGUUGUGAGAGCAAGAGCCCGGAGAUGGAUUCUGAGACAUAAAUCCAGACCCUACGGGGUGCAGCAGGCGCGAAAUCUUUACAAUGCGGGAAACCGCGAUAAGGGGACGCUGAGUGCCAGCAUAUUAUGUUGGCUGUCCACAUGUCUAAAAACCAUGUGUUAGCAAGGGCCGGGCAAGACCGGUGCCAGCCGCCGCGGUAACACCGGCGGCCCGAGUGGUGAUCACUUUUAUUGGGUCUAAAGGGUCCGUAGCCGGUUUAAUCAGUCUUCUGGGAAAUCUGACAGCUCAACUGUUAGGCUUUCAGGGGAUACUGUUAAGCUUGGGACCGGGAGAGGUAAGAGGUACUACAGGGGUAGGAGUGAAAUCUUGUAAUCCCUGUGGGACCGCCGGUGGCGAAGGCGUCUUACCAGAACGGGUCCGACGGUGAGGGACGAAAGCUGGGGGCACGAACCGGAUUAGAUACCCGGGUAGUCCCAGCCGUAAACGAUGUUCGCUAAGUGUCAGGGACGGUGCGACCGUUUCUGGUGCCGUAGGGAAGCCGUGAAGCGAACCACCUGGGAAGUACGGCCGCAAGGCUGAAACUAAAG
rnacentral:rRNA from 1 species